ensembl:lncRNA
CGCUCUUGCUCCAGCGGCAGGAUGUGAUCCACUGGCAAAGGAGGACACCAACAAGGCGUCCGAUAAGAUAAGUCUUAUAAAAUAUAUAAGUUUAUGAUAAUUAAGACAGAACUAACAGAUGAGAAUCCUAGUCGUUGGCCAAGCAACAUUGUACCUAAUACAAGUUUCUGUGUAUUCAUUUGGGCCUAACUCGGGCGGGCGGCUGGCAGAAAGCCCACACGUGGUAGUGGGGCCCGGCGGCUUUUGGUGGAAAGAUUUAUCGUAACAGCCAUGCCAUUUGAGAAAGAAGUUUAGCUGCCUCAUUAAACAUUUUCAGGCCACCUCUUACCCUGAAAAUUUUGGACUUGCCAAUUUGUACAAUCCCAUGAGCCAUGUCCUUAAGAUCCAUCUCCUGACACAAGCACACACACCAUUGGUUCCAGCUCUCUGGAGACCCCUGAAUAACAGGACAACACACUCAAUGCUGCCAAGAUCAGUGAUUAAUUCCUUACAUCUAUCUCAUCUCACCGAAACUGCUAGCAACCUCCUUCUUGAAAUCUUCCGCAAACUACCUUUGUGUGGGGGACGGAAUAUCCCUGUUAUGGAAUAUUCUAGGACCCAGGCCCUGGCUGACAUAAACAGCACUGGCGCAUUGUAUUGUUAGUUAACACCAGGCUGUAACUGUUUAUGGUGGCCGAAAGGUGAUAUGCCUCCUAAUUUGCAUCUCUGUAGCUUAAGAGAUGCAUCUCUGUAGCUUAAGCCUUGAGUAGGCCCAUACCUGGGCUCAAGACUCUGCCUGCUUGACCAAGAGCUAUUUAGGCAACAGAAUCACUUGAUGUUAGCAAUAUGCAUUGUGAAAGAUGCUUCCUGAUGUUACCCCUGCCCUUAGAGGACUAUUUAAAUGGACCUCUCAUUAAACUGGGGCUGCUCGGGCGUCAGCUGGGAGCCCUCCUGAGAUGAUACGGUGUUUCCUGUCUUAUCAUUAGCGUCGUUGGGUAAUUAAACUUCCCUAGUCCACACACCUCCACUCAGGAACCGACCCGGGACUGUACGGCUGGCUCCGUCCACAGUCCUGAAGACAUCGGUGAACUGAAGAUAGGCAGUUCUCUAGGAGUCCUCCAAGCCUUCAGAGCCUGAUUCAGACUACUGAGGCAUCCAGCCUUAUAGGCAGAUCAGCUACUGACUUUUCAGCCUCUCCAGCAUGAGGCUGGCUACGAAGAUAAUAUUGGUUAAGCCAAUCUAAUAAAUCUAAUUGUUUGCUUGGGUUUGUUCCUCUAGAGAAUCCUGAGUAAUGUAUGUGUAAAGUGCUGUCUUGGUUUUCCAUCUAUUUCAUUGGCAUCUGCAACAUCCAAAAUGGAACUCAGCCUCUACCAUUUACUCCUUUUUUCCCUUCUCUCCAUCAGCCUUCAUCAUCCACCAAUCCAUGCAACUGCUCUAAUGCCUCCUCUACUCAGGAGUGUUUGGUAGCAUGCCUGACCUUCUCUACUCUUAGAGUGAUCUUAAAUCUGUCCACUCUUGGAAAUCUCUGCAGGUCUCUUGGUCAAGCCCUAUUUGUCUCUCCAGCACCGCAGUGCGCUUUUCAGCCUUUCAGUGUGCAUUUAACAUACAUCAUUUCCUGGGAAUGCAUCUUCUGAUCCCCGCCUAUACUAUACAUUUUCACAAAUCUUUGGUUUUGUGAGCAAAAUUCCUUGUGUCAUAUUAAGAUUUUAGUUUCCUGGAUGUGUAUUAUAAUAGUCUCUCAAUCUCUCUCUCUCUCUCUCUCUCUCUCUCUCUCUCUCUCUCUCUCUCUCUCUCUCUCUCUCUCUUUGUGUGUGUGUGUGUGUGUGUGUGUGUGUGUGUGUGUGUGUGUGUGUGUGUGUAUGUUGAGAGCAGGAAAACUGACAUUUUGAUAUUCAAUCUUCCUCCUGGUAUCUCUGGUGUAGGGCAGGAAUUGUAAAAAUAUUUAUUGAAAGCUGAUUGAACAAGUGACUUGAUGUUGGUUAUCAUGGCUCACAUCUUUAGUCACAGCACUCAGGAAACAGGCAUCAGAUCUCUGAGUUUGAAGCUAGCCUAAUCAAUAGUGAGUUCCAAGUCAACUAGAACUACAUAGUGAUAUCUUCUCUCUCUCUCUCUUUUUUUUUUAAAGAGUGGCUUGAUAUAAAGACAGCAGAAUCAGAAAGUUUACAUAUAGAAUUACCCAUUACUUUACUGUUUUAGAAAAGGAUGAUCUGCCUCUAGUGACUUGUUUUCUCUAUCUUAUGGAAGAAUUAUAUGAGAUUCUUUUAGCACUCUUCAUCUGAGACAUCUUAACAAGAACUGUGAGACUACCGCAUGACCAAAUGCACAUUUUCAUAUUCAGGAUUUACAUCCAUACUUUUUAAAGGAACCCAGAGGAUUUCCUCUGUUGUUUCUAUAUGGACACUGCAUUGCUUCUUCUCUCUGAAAAUGGACACAGUCAUGCCUCAGUUAACUUGGGGAUACGUCCUGAGAGGCACAUUAUUACUCAAGUUUGCCACUGAGCAAACAUCAUAAAAUACACUUAUAUAAACUUGUAUAGAAUAGCCUACUACUUACCUAGACAGUAUAGGAAAGCAUGUUGCUUCCACAUGCAUGAUUUUUUAAAAGUGUGAGAUGAUAUUAUGCACAGGAAAAAUGAUGCAAUCAAGAGACACAAUAAACAUGAGAUAGCCAGACUGAUACCAGCAUAAUAUGGCAUAUUGAUUUUGCUUAAUGUAACUCUUAAACACUCUAACAUAACAUGAUUAAUGUAAAUACAGAAUCCAACAAUGUAGUCAAUAUCAAGUAUUCUAGGCACACAUAACUGUACAUACCAUCUACUACACUCUUACUAGAUGCAUAGGUGAUUUAUUGAUACAAACAUGAAUGACACAUUACUCUUAGCUCUUCAUGAUAGCUACAAUGUAAAUCAUUGAUAGGAGCUGUGCACCUUCCUUACACUCCUAUGGGAGCACUAUCAAAUGUAUGGUCAUUUUUUGAGGCACAUUUAACUUACAGAAGUAUGGUAUAGAACAAAAGGAGAAACAUUUGCACAUAAUUUUUCUGCUUUGCAGUUUACUGGUGCUUAUUCUAUUGUUCUGCUAAAAUAAAGCCAAUUAAGAUCUUUAAAUUGCUAUGUGCUCACACACACACACACACACACACACACACACACACACACACACACACACACAGUGUGUGUAUGUAUGUAAACCAAUUUAGAAAAUUUUUAAGGGAUUUUAUUCCGACAUGUUGGGGCCAUUCCCAAGUUUCCAAAGCAGGCAGGUUUUUUAAAAAAGAUUUAUUUAUUUAUUUAUCAUGUAUAUAGUGCGUGCCAGAAGAGGGCACCAGAUCACAUUACAGAUGGUUGUGAGCCACCAUGUGGUGCUGGGAAUUGAACUCAGAACCUCUGGAAGAACAGUCAGUGCUCUUAACCCCUGAGCCAUCUCUCCAGCCCCCAAUUUAGAAAUCUUAAUUGGUUUUGUUUUAGAUUCUAGAAUCAAGCAGCUUCAUUCCACAAAAUAAAAUAAAUGUUCCAAUGAUCCAAACACAGGGGGAUGGCCUUACAGAGAGAAAAGAUCUGAUGGAAAGAGAAACAAACAACAAAAAGUAGAUUGGUUAUUUCUAGUUACUGUCCUUGUAAGGACAGGACAAGGAUUCGAGACACUAGAUAACUGGUUUGUUAACCUCAGGUUAUUUCUUUUUAUAAGAAUUAAACCACAGGAAAAUUUUAUCAUGUCAAUUGAAACUGGGUUGCUUGGAGAAUUUAGUUGUUAUCUCUCUGCUCUUGAUUUCUCAGGUCAGUAGACAGUUUCAGCUUGGUGAUGGGGAACUGUAAAGUGAGCAACUCCCAUCUUUAUUUUUAGCCUGGUGUGCUGGGGCCCAGUGAAGGAGUCUAGCCUAAAACGAUGGCCUCCUGAAAUUCUUAUUUAACACUUAGAAAAAAAAUGCACUAAGAUGCAGAAAUAGAGACUCAAUAAUAGUAAGUAUCAUGACCAAUGAAAAAUAGCUGUAUUUGGAUGGAUAAAUCAACACACAGAUUACAGGAACUUUUAGUACCUACCCUAGAGGGAUGCAUACAGACAUAUAUAUAUAUAUAUAUAUGUGUGUGUGUGUGUGUGUGUGUGUGUGUGUGUGUGUGUGUGUGUGUGUGUAUUCAUCUUACGGUUUUUAUUGUUGUGAAAAGAUACCAUGACCAAGGUAACCCUUGUAAAGAAAACAUUUAAUUGGGGUGGUUUUCUUACAGUUUCAGAGGUUCAGUCCAUUAUCAUGACUGGGAGCUUGGCAGCGUGCAGGCUGAUGUGGUGGAGAGAUAGCUGACGGGUCCUACAUCUUGCAGGCAAUAGGACAUUCACUGACUGUCACAUUGAGUGAAGCUUGAGAAAAACACCUCAGAGUCCACUCCCUCAGUGACACAUCCCUCAGAAGCCCCAUCUCCUAAUAGGACUCCCUUUGAGGACCAUUUUCUUUCAAACUACACACAUACACACCUGGAAUAAAAAUAAUGUUGUCACUUUCAAGGUCAAUUCUUUGUACUCACAGUUUUGCAUGUUAGAUGCAGUACUGUAAGUCAAUCAAUGCACAGAGAAGAUGAUCUGAAUGAUAAAUGUUCCCCAUAGUCUCAGAUAUUUAAACACAUGGCACCCAACUAGUAGUGCUGUUUGGGGAGUUGGUGCAACCUGGCAGGAUGAAGUCACUAGAGACAGAUUAUGAGAGCUCAUAGCCUCACCUAACUUCCAGUUUCCUCUCUCUGCUCUAUGUUUGUGAUUGAAGGUGUCUGGUCUCACAGCUUCCUGCCCUGUCUCCUGCUACCAUGCCACCUUCACAAUUAUGGACUCUCCAUCUGACACUUUAAUCCCAAAUAUUAUGACUUUGGGCAUGAUACCUUAUUAUUGCAUCAGAAAUGUAAAUAACACAUGGUCUUCUAUCAUUAUCUACCUGUGUGAAAGUCAGUUAACUGUUGACAUGAACUUCAUUUCUUAAAUAGGAUGAAAAUAUCAGCCCUGUAUAACCCAAGGAAUACUUUAAAAAUCACCUGAAAUUAAUGUAUGUAAAAGCCUUUGAAAACAUAUAAUCCAGCAAGUUUUUCAUAUUAUUGGAUUUUGAAAGUAAAAACUGAAAACAAACACUGGAAAUGGGACAGAAAAUUACUAUGGAAAAUAGUAGAAAAGAGAGAUAGGUAUCUUUAAAAUAAUCUCUGGCUUUGGACAGCCAGUAACUUCUGAGAACAGAGAGUGUCUGCAAACUGAAGGCCUGUGGGAAUGCUGAAGUUCCUCAGAACUAUUCAGCCCAAAUUAGUACUGAAGACAGUGAAGUGGAUGAGGGGAGGGGCAGAGGUGGAUUCUCUGCUUAGUCUUAGCCAUUAAUUCACACUGCUCUCUGAGCAGACUCCCAUUCUAAUAUGUCUAUUUAUCUCCCCGGGCUACUUACUGGGACCAAGACAAGCUGAGCCAGUGAUUGCAGUGGAGCCCUCAGCCAUUGCAUCAGAUGGCAGGGUUAUCCUUAUGGUCACAGAGGAUUCUAUAAGGUGCCAACCUUGCUAAAGCAGAGAGAGCAUCAAUAAGCAUCUUACCUAGCUAAGCAUAGGAAGAGCCGGCCCUUUCUGGAUGCUCAGCACUUUCACAUCUCUCAUUCCUGGGAAAAUUCCAGCAGCACAUACUCCUUGGUCUGGUGGGACUGCCGAUGCUGUCUUAGACCCUGGAUACCAUAUGUGAGAUGAGAAUAAUAGUAAUUAUUUUUUCUGAUAGAAAGAGACAUUUAUCCCUAUAUAUGAGAAUCAUUAUGCUGUAGUUAAAAAAAACAAACUCAACCUCUGGAUUCAAGUAAAACAGACCAUGAAGAUAAAGCAAACACAGCUCUGCUAACAGUAAUUCAACUUCAUGAGUUAGAAAACCUCCCACUUAAGACAAGUCAGUUACAAACCGAUAGACAGGACAACUGAGUAAAGGAAGCCUUCAGAUAAGUUAGAAAGAUAUAUACCCUUUCCCUAUGGGCUGCCACAGUUUGUGGACUGGCCCAAGAGUGAGGGCAGAUAUGGCUUCACUCUUUCCUUCUGUCACUCUCUCCUUAUUUUCUGGCAGGGUCCCAAAUCACAGUUUAUCCCUCUCUGAAAAAUAAGGUGUACUUCUCUACUUCCUAGAACACAACACUCUCAGAAAGUCAAGAAUGAGAGGUAAACCCAGUGUGGUAGUACAUGCCUGAAGUCCCAGCACACAGGGCACUGAAGCGAGAGAGAGACUACCUACCACACCACCAUGGCUAACAUAACCUCAAAAGGUAGCUAUGAUAAUAACUAUAAUAGUAACGAUGCUGGUAUAAGAGAGAGGGACAGGUGUGAAAUUGAGUUGGAAAUCUGGAACCCCAAUAAAAUGGCACAAGGAGAAGUUCUUGGACUGUGACCAUCCAGCUUCAAUAAGAUUGCAGAGCAAUCUGUGCCCAGGGUAAGGCCUACCUCCAACCCUGAUAUCCCUUACUUCUUCCCAGUUUUAUAAUAGCAGAUCAUAAAAUCAAGUAGUUUACUCUAGGCAGAGCUUUUACUAUACCAGGUAUUUUACAUAGACUCAUUAACUCUGGAAGUUGCUAUCUCCCUAUUCAGGUAAGGAUGAUGCAUAGGGAUAUUUAAAUUCAUAGGCCAGGAUAUUUAAAUUCAGCUGAUGGUUGAUAGAGCCAGAGUCCACACCACAUCACAGUUCUGCCCUGCUGUGUAUAGCUAUUCUGUAUUAAGCCACAGAUGAAUGGCUCUCUUUAAAGAUCUGAAGAAAGAGAAUAAUAUCUUCAUUUCACCUGGUCUUUUAGAACUCAGAUUUUCAGUACUUCCAGUAAAGUGACCAUUCAAAAUCAGUUCCCUUCAAGUAUCCCUCCAUACAACCGCAGCACAGUCCUAGGAAGAGGAAAAAAAUUCACUUGUGUUUUUCUAAGAAUGUAUCUGACCGUGUCCUAACCCUCCAGCCCCAAACAAUGGCAUGCAGUUCCUGAGCAGUGAGUUGAAAGAAAGUCCUUGUGAUGGCUACUCUUGUUUGUCAACUUGAAUACAUCUGGAAUCAACUAAAACCCAAAAAUGGAUGGCACACCAGUGAGGGAUUUUUUAUUAAUUUGAAGUAUGAAGAUCCACUUCUAAUCUAGUUCUUGAGAUGGGGGGACAGGGACACACCUUUUCUCUAUGCCGUACCUUCUUCUGUUGGAAGCUGAAUAAGGAAGGAAGCUUUUAUUCUUUGCCUGCUUGCUCUAGCCUUGCUAGCAAAAUCACCCAUUCAUUGGCAUUAGAGCCUAUUUCUUCUGAAUUCCAGCAUAAACUGAAGACCAGCUAAGACAUCCAGCUUGUGGACUUCUGGACUCUUGGACUUCCCAUUCCCAAACAGCUAUGGUUGUAUUAACUAAAAUGCAGCCUGUCAUUAAGUCACUAUAAGUCAUUCAAAUAAAUCCCAUAUAUAUAUACUUGACUCCUCAACCGGUGAUGUUAUUUUUCUUGAGUACAUGGCAUCCUUUCUUCACUUUCUUUUGCCAGCAUAAGGUGCAUUACUUUUCUGAGUCCACAGGCAGAAUUAAGGAUCACAGUUCAGUACUUGGGGCUCCAUUCAUAUAGUGUUCAUAUAGGUCAUUAACAAAAGCAGUUCCCUCACAUCCUCUCCAGCAUAGAAUGCCAUAGGUGUUUUUGAUUCUAGCCAUUCUGACAGGAAUAAGAUGGUAUCUCAGAGUUGUUUUGAUUUGCAUUUCCCUGAUGGCUAAGGAUGUUGAGCACUUUCUUAAGUGUCCUUCAGAAAUUUUAGAUUCCUCUAUUGAGAAUUCUCUAUUUAGCUCUGAACCCAACUUUUUAAUUGGAUUGUUUGGUGUUUUGGUGACUAGCUUCUUGAGUUCAUUGGAUAUUUUGGAAAUCAGCCCUCUGUCACAUGUGGGGUUGGUGAAGAUCUUUUCCCAUUCUGUGGGCUGCCAUUUUGUCUUGUUGACUGUGUCCUUUGCCUUGCAGAAGCUCCUCAGUUUAAGGAGGUCCCAUUUAUUAAUUGUUGAUCUCAAUGUCUGUGCUACUGGUGUUAUGUUCAGGAAGCGGUCUCCUGUACCAAUUCGUUCAAGGGUACAUCCCACUUUCUCUUCUAAGAGGUUCAGUGUGGCUGGAUUUAUGUUGAGGUCUUUCAUCCAUUUGGACUUAAGUUUUGUGCAUGGUGAUAAAUACGGAUAUAUCAGCAAUCUUCUACAUGUCAGCAUCCAGUUAUGCCAGCACCAUUUGUUGAAGACCCUUUCUUUUUUCCAUUGUAUAGCUUUAGCUUCUUUGUAAAAAAUCAGGUGUUCGUAGGUGUGUGGGUUAAUAUCAGAGUUUUCAAUUAGAUUCCAUUGGUCUACCUGUCUAUUUUUGUGCCAAUACCAAACUAUUUUCAGGACUAUAGCUCUAUAAUAGAGAUCGAAGUCAGGGAUGGUGAUGCCUCCAGAAGUUCCUCUAUUGUACAGGGUUGUUUUGGCUAUCCUGGGUCUUUUGUUUUUCCAUAUAAAGUUGAGAAUUGUUCUUACAAGGUCUGUGAAGAAUUGUGUUGGGAUUUUGAUGGGAUUGCAUUGUAUCUGUAGAUUGCUUUUGGCAAGAUGGCCAAUUUUACUAUGUUGAUCCUACCUAUCCAAGAGCAUGGGAGAUUUUUCCAUUGUCUAGAAUCUUCUUUAAUUUCUUUCUUGAAAGACUCAAAAACGGGAACACUCCUCCAUUGCUGGUGGGAGUGCCAACUUGUACGACCACUUUGGAAUUCAGUAUGGCUGUUUCAGUCUA